rnacentral:siRNA from 1 species
CAUAUUUGGUAGCCAAGGAUGACU